GGAUGAAGUCUCUGUCCUGCUGAACAGGUCAGGUGUCGACCUGCUUCUGAUGGGACUGCCUGAUCCGGGAGAAUCCGGCGACACCCAGGCCCUGUCAGUAUAGAAACUCUACUGCAUGCAUCCCCAGACCAGCCUGAGUGGACGAACCCUGGUCUCUCUGGUUUCUAGGACUCCAGCAGUCCCCGAAAAACGUCAAAUGUGGGACUUGGAAAGCCCAGCAGUUGAGACCAAUGAACAGCAAAGACUCUGCAAGAGGAGUGUAUUGCUUUGUGUGAUUUCUUCAAAGCACUUAGUGAUCUAAGGGGAAAAUCAGAGAAUUUAAGUCCCUUUGCAGUUCUCCCUCUGCAUUAGCAUUUCUCUGCUUUUGGGACCAGAGUGAAGGCUUCCUCAUUGCCAUUAACUGGGGAAAUGCCGCUGUUACAAUGACACUCACCGAUA